UGUGUGUGAGAGAGGGGGGGAGGGGAGAACAUUCUCCUCUUCCUCCUCCCUGAUGAUGGCUCAUGCCCAGGCAUUCUGGCGGAAUGAAUGGUAAGGGUUAGGGUUUGCUCGGGCGCCAAAAUGGGUGUCUGCCUAUACACGUGUUUCUCUUCUCCUUUUGCCACUUAUAUGACAGGAGGGUUGUUAUUAUGUGUCUCCGACCUCCUGCCGACCCUGUGAAUGAACGACUUCCAGAAUGCCCUCCCCUUAACAGCUCUGCUCAGCUCUUCUAAGCUCAAGGCCGUGGUUCCUUUGAUAGGUGGCGACUCCGAAACUGGGGCAAGGAUGAGUCUCCCUCAGACGACCAGCGGCAAAUGCAGGCAGAAAAAGGAAGGGAAAUGGAGACGUUCUGGAGUCGGAGGCCGAAGGAAGGGCAGAGCGACCUGUUCCAAGGAAGCCCGGGAUCGCUAGCUUCCCAACCACCGACGGAAUGACAUCCCAAGACAGGGAGGGGAUCUAGGUUCACCAUUAAAUCUCCAGAUCCCCCUCCCCAAAACCAACGAAAGAAAUCCUGAGCUCAUAAAACCCAGAGAUCGCGGCUUCUCUCCCUGGACUAACUUCAAGGAAAGCUUGCGGACUUUCCCCCUUGCUGCCGACUUACUCUCCCUGGCCCCUUGCGCUCGAUCCGUCUCGUUCUCCCCGGUCUUUUGUGUAGAGGUGAGAAAGGGCGCGCAGGGAGAUGCGCACUGUUCGUUUUUCACACGCUGCGUUAAGUGCAGGGAUGCUACCCACCCCCUUUUUUAAAAAUGCAUCCAUCUAACGCCACCACUCCCUCAUCCAUUUAACGAGUACUGCCCUUUAUUCUUGUAUCGAUAACUGCAGUUCGCCAAAAUAAUCGUACAGUUUUUUUAAGACGGAAGUGUCACUGAGUUCCGUAGAGUUACUCACACAAAAAAAUGUAUAUAGAGGAUCAGGUCUCUUCCUGCUCACUUUUCUUACCGAAGAGCUCAGAAGCACGAAGUUGAUAGAGAGCCUUUCGGCCGCUAGAUGUCGCUGACGCAGUUCAAAUGAGCCCCGCUCUCCUCGAGCGCAACUCCAGCGCUUUGUGGGAAAUCUCUGCGUUUUCUUUCCCCAGAAGCAUUGGAGAAGGUAAACAUUUGAUUUGUAAUAGAUCACCUUAUCAUUUUCCUGAAAAGAAUUCUUUCUGUCGAGGGAAAGGAGGGGACAUUCCUGAGGGAUGAAAGAAUUCUGUUGGUUUUGCUACCUGGUGCUUUCCAUCCAAGGAGCUGUUUAUUUUCGUUUGGUAUCCGGGCCAGGCUCCAAGGUUUAUUCUGUUCUAGCAGAAGGAAGGUCUGUCCGUUCAGCCAGUGGGUUUCACUCCCGAUGAAGUGCGCAUUAUACUUCCUCCUAAAAUUAAAACUUAUCCGGAAUACAAUGAAAGGCGUGCUGUCCUUGUCAUAGGAAAAAGGCC
rnacentral:lncRNA from 1 species